AAAUAACUAAAGAAUAACAUUGCCAGUUGUGAUAUACCUGCGGCCCUUAUAAUUUCGUGGAUAAUUUCCUUCGGAACGGGAUCCGGGCUAAAGUAUCUUCAGGUACGUCUGGCGGCUGUCAUUUGAUAAAAUUCUGACGCCCGAGACAGCGAUUCCUUUUUGGGUAACCGGACAUACCGAUAUGAGUAUAUAAAAUAUUCUAGCUCUUUUCAUUUAGAAAAUCGUGAAAAAGAAAUAAGAAUCAUUUAAACACGACCGACAAAAUCGAGAGAUUUUAAUCGUAAAAUUAACAAUCUUAUCUGUUGACUAACUCACUGGAAUUCCAUGGCAUUCACGCUUGUAUUAAGAUUUUAAGCACGAGGCAUCGAGCGAAGCACUUUCAUCUUCCACUUUCAUUUUCUAAAAUGAGACAAAUACGACUCUGUUCCGCUCGAUAACAGUUAUAUAUACACAAUGACAGAUUACUUUCACUCGGAUCCGUAGAUUCGUCGGAUGCUGGAGCGAGGGGCCUCUUCUGUGGUCUCCCGAAAAUUUUGCUAAACAGAAUGAGGGAAAUGACGCCGACUAACAGGUGAUAAAAAUAUUUCGUCACGAAAGGCGCGUAUUCGGAGAACAUCUUUCCGGUCUCUCCUUUUCGUCGCACAACAAGGAGGGAGCCUCUCUCGCGCGCGACUUUUUACUCGCUACUGAUCCGGAUCGGAAUGAUUUUCACACUCGACUCUCGAGUCAUCAAGGUCGCAGAUAUAAGAUAUCUGAGAGUGAUAUCGGGAACGCAUUCCGAUAGCGUCGGGGGAUAGAAAAAUCAUUAUUCGAGCGUGUAUUAAAUUCGCCCGCGCUAUUAUAAUGUCGAAACCGAGUGUCUCUCUUUUUGACAUUUCUCGUUGAUGCACAACUCAUCGAAGAAACGCGUAAAAUUGAUGCGUCAGUCGUUUCGUGGAAAUUGCAAACCUCUCUGAUAUACGCUAUAUACAUUUGUAUGUAAAAUUUAAAAUUUUGCAAACAUAUCUACCAGCUCGUUUCCCUCUUUUUCUCGUAUUUUUCAGUAAUAAUUAACUCGAUAUCGUCGCGUGUUGUUUUUCAACGUUUGCUUACAUCCAACAUUGUUACGAAAUUGUUAUCGUAGAUUUGUUACACAUGAAAUGACCGAUCGAUAUAUAGGAAUAAUAAUAAUAAUAAUAAUUGCGCGCGUUUUAUUCUCGCGAAUGACAGAAAAAAUCUGCAAAAACUACCAGUUUCAAAGGCACGAUUGAAAACGAUCCUUGUAAUCUUCUUAAUUAUGUCAGUUUAUGUUAGCCCGAUGACAAUUAAUUCGCUUCGUUAAGAUUUUAAAGUUAGCCAAGAGCAUUUUUAAUUUGCAUUUUAAAUACAUUGUCUUCGUUAUGCUACUAAAUAUGAUGACCAAGAGUGAGUGGAAACUUUCCUCGAUUCUCUAUUCGAAAAUUUCAAACAACUUUACAUCUUUGCUGUAUACAUUUGUAAGUUACACAACUUGGUUCAAUAGAAUCCAAAAAAAAAAUGGAAAGAAUCUGAAUGAAAUUUUCUUUGUUACGA